UCUAGGCCUAUGUGAACGAAUCAGUUGUUCGAGGAUAAAAAAAAAAAAUCAGCACCACUUGGCUGUCAUUAUUGUGCAAAGAUUUUUUUAUAUCAAACUGAAAAAGAAUGAUCUUGUAGUACUUCCUUGAAAAUCUUGUAAAAUGCGAUCGACUUUCUACAAACCUUACAUGGAACAGUUUGUUCUAUGUCUGACUGCUUGUACCCGAACCACUUCCAUACAACUGAAGUAGCACCCUUUUUAUGAAUGAGUUCUUCAUCUCAAAGUAAAAAUGCAAAUUAAUCGUUUAAACCAAAAGAAUCGCCCAGCCCUAAUACAGGGUUACACUAGAGACUAUCACCUGGUUUAUAUAUCAUACAGGGUUACACUAGAGACUAUUGGUGCAACGGUUCACGGGUUAACUGUACGGAUCAACCCUCACGUUCAGGACGCAAGUUAU